rnacentral:rRNA from 1 species
UUUGCCGGGGAGCAACGGGCGUCACGUGUGGCGCCACUGAGAGUACCCGGAGAAAAAGCAUCGGCUAACUCCGUGCCAGCAGCCGCGGUAAUACGGAGGAUGCGAGCGUUAUCCGGAUUUAUUGGGUUUAAAGGGUGCGUAGGCGGAUCGUUAAGUCAGUGGUCAAAUUGAGGGGCUCAACCCCUUCCCGCCAUUGAAACUGGCGAUCUUGAGUGGAAGAGAAGUAUGCGGAAUGCGUGGUGUAGCGGUGAAAUGCAUAGAUAUCACGCAGAACCCCGAUUGCGAAGGCAGCAUGCCGGCUUCCGACUGACGCUGAAGCACGAAAGCGUGGGGAUCGAACAGGAUUAGAUACCCUGGUAGUCCACGCGGUAAACGAUGAGCGCUAGGUGUCCGGGGGGAAUGGCCCCUGG